UGACAGCAAUCACAGCUCUCAAAUGUUGCCUGAGGAUUUGCCAGGUGCAGCUUCAUCGAUGUUAGGUAACCCCAAGAAAUUAUGCAGCAAAAUCUUCUGGGUUGCCAAAUACAAUUGUUGCGGGAACUGGGAAUGCAGUACAAAGGAUUUAGUGAAGAAGAGCAGCAACCUAUUAAGACAAUCUUAGGAAGAAUGUCAUGGAAUUCGAAGAGAAAGGGGCCAGAUAAAUACAGCUUUCGUUUAUAUAAGUUUAGCCUCUGCUACCGGGGCUCUUUGCAGUAGCCUGCUGAAGUCAAUAAGGAAAAAUUUUAAGAUAUUUCAACAAAUAAGGAAAAUGUGCCCCUUA